UGUGAAUUUUAUCUUAUGUAGUUAUUAUUUGUUGUUUUGCCUGCGGGGGUCGCCUUUCUACACUUUGCCUCGUUUGUGUCUCCUGGGCUUCCGUAGCUCGGUCCGCCCGCAUAGCAUCUCCGCUUCCCCCUUUUCCCUCACAGCGUUGUUCUGCGCUGCUGUGGGCUGGAGUGCAAGGAGAUUAGAAGAGGAAGUUGAUUUAUUGUUUUACUCUUCUUCUCCAG